UUUGUCUUUGCACAUGCUGAGCUGCCUGGUAACUUUGAGUCAGGUGGGUUAGGGUCAAUGUCACAUGGUCACAGUAGCUUUCAGAGUGGUGGAGUGUCCUAUGGUGAGUGAUUCGGGCACAUAAACGGACACAAAUGCCUUCAAGCGGUGGAAGCUGAAUUAGUGAGGAUGACUCCUGCUCCUGUCAUCUCUAAACUCCUCACACAUCUUUACCUGCACAUGAGGAAAAUCACUCCUGUAGAAUGCAGAUGUUCAGAGGGAGAUGAUGCCACAUCUGGUCCAGCUGAUGGAAGGUCUUGAAGUUCUGACUGGCCUCGACUGAAGAUGGUCGUCUCACUGGAUUUAAGGUUCAGAUGCUCAGUAACAAACUCCACCAAUGAGCCAACAGGGAAGCUUUAGGUUUAUUAAAUGUUGCUAUGAAGGUAUCGCUGUUUUUCUUUGUGAAUGCAAUGUGUUGUUGUAAACUUACUCUUUCAAAUAAAUAGCCGCCUAACCCCCUGGAAACCAGCGUUUGUCCUGUUUUUGUGUUGCUCCUUGGCGACCCUAGACAGCCGGGUCGCAAUGUUUUUUGAGCAACACACCAUACUAUGACAUUUUUACAAUGAUGGUUCUACUAUGGAACCAGUUUGACAUGUUCAGGUGUUCUUUGUGUGAAAACUCAGAUUUCAGGUAUCGGAAGGUGGUUUUCAACUUUGUUUGUUAACUUUCUGCUUCAACUUUAAAUUAAAUUUCCUUCACUAACCCAGCCCUCUGGACUUCCAGUAAGCUGUGUUCCUAUUGGCUGUCCGGGUGGCUGAUUGGUGUUAUCAGGAACACCUGAGCAGCUCAGUGUCUUCCUGCUUUAUUUGGCUGCAGACAAACAUUUCCUCUGCUUCCUUCACCACUGAACCGGGUUUGACUCUGUUGCUUUAGUUUGUUCUUUAGGCGUUGGCUUGCAGCUUCCAGCAGUAAAAUAGACUUUAAUGUGUUUCUUGGUGUGUUUUAGGGCUUUGUACUGGAUAGCUGUCUUGGUAAAUGUGGUUCUUUAGCCACAGUUAGCACAUGGUGCUAAUAUGUGCAGUGAUUAGUGGAUUUGGUGCAGCUGAGUUGUGUCUUUAUCUUGGCUGUAGUGAGUCUUUAGAUUUUUUUGGUCAGACACAUUCUAUAUUCUUGUUUGUGAACCAACGUUGGUUGUCCAGAAGGUAAGAGUUCCUGUCCUGAUUCUCUGUUCUCAGAGGUUCUCUGGUAGGCUGCAGGAGACUUUCGCGUUUGGGUUGUGCUAGUUUGUUUUUUGUACGGUUUCAUUUGGACGACUAUCUUGAGGCCCCUCCAUGUGGUUUAGUGAGGUUUUCUGGAACAGUUCUACAAAGCAACCUGCAGCAGAAGAGACUUUGAGAGUUUUUAGGAAGUUCUGGAGACCAGACUUUAGAGCAGCAGAAACAUUUGUCAGUAGUUUGAGCAGGAGAAGGUGAGCUUCAGAGUAGAAAUGAGACGGAAACCUUCUUGACCCGUGUGGUGAGGUCCUGUACCAAGAGUUUGAGCAGGUUGUGAAGAGUCUGUAGUUCUUUGGUCUGAAAGCACAAGAAGAGUCGACUCAUUAAAGGAGAAAACAGGAGAUUUUGUUGCUUCUUCUGUCACUCUGCAGUUUCCAGUUUCCUUUGACUGAAUAUCAAGUUUAUAUGUUAAAUGAUUUACAUUGUGAGCCCAAGAAGACUUCAAUAAACUCCCUCCAUCCCCUGGACACAACA